rnacentral:rRNA from 1 species
ACUGUAAUUAAAUUUUUAAAGAAAUAUUUUAUUAUAAAUAUAUUUAAAUAAAUUAAAUUGUUUAUUUGUUUAGUAUUAAAAGUGUAGAAAAAAUGUUGAUUAUAAAGUACUGUGAAGGAUAAAGUAUUUAUUAUUUAUUUAGUAGUAGAUAUAUAUAUUCGUACCUUUUGUAUAAUGGAUUAAUAAUUGUUAUUAUAUUAUAUUAUGAAUUCUCGAAAUGAAUAGAUUUACUUAAUAAGGGUAAUAUUAACGUUGUAUAGUUAUAUAAUGAUUAUUAAGUGGUAAUGAUAUGUUUAUCGUUUUUCAUGAUAGCUAGUUUAUUAAGUGUAAAAAUAUCUAAGUAUUAUAAUUUUAAUAUAAGUAUAUAUAAAUUUAAGAUUAGUUUAGUAUAUGAGGGAUAAGCUUCAUAUAAUAUUAUAGAAUAUAUUAAGUAGAAAUUAUGGUUUAAGUAGAAUUAAUAAUGUUUUUCUUUUAAAGUAAUUUAAAUUUUAUAUAUAUAGGUUAUAUUCAUGUUAUUUAUUUAAUAAAUUUUUAUUAAUUGAUUUAAAUUAAUUAUAAUGUUAAUAUGAGUAUUGGUUGAUUUAUUAAAUAGUUAUAUAUAUUAUAAAUGUUACUAGUAAAUAUAAUUAUAUUUUUAUUUAAAUUAAGUAAAGGAAUUCGGCAAAUAAUAAUCUCGCCUGUUUAUCAAAAACAUGUCUCUUUGUUGUAAUUAUAUAAAGAGUCGGGCCUGCUCGGUGAAAUAAUUUUAACAGCUGCGGUAUUUUAACUGUACUAAGGUAGCAUAAUAAUUUGCCUUAUAAUUUGAGGCUAGAAUGAAUGGUUUGACGAAGGUUAAUCUGUCUCUAUUUUAUUUUUUAGAAUUUAAUUUUUAUGUGAAAAAGCUUAAAUUUUUUAAAGGGACGAGAAGACCCUAUUGAGCUUAUAAUUUUAUUUAUUUUUGAUAAUAUUAUAAAGAAUAAUAUGAAUUUUGAUUGGGGUGAUCAAGGAAUAAUAAUUAUAUAAUAACUUCCUUAUACUUAUUAAUUGGUAAAUUAAUUAACCAAUAUUAUUGAUUAUAAUUAAGUUACCAUAGGGAUAACAGCGUAAUUUAUUUUGAGAGUUCUUAUCGAAAAAUAAGAUUGCGACCUCGAUGUUGGAUUAAAGUAACCUUAGGGUGUAGAAGUUCUAGAAGGUAAAUCUGUUCGAUUUUUAAAAUUUUACAUGAUCUGAGUUCAGACCGGUGUGAGCCAGGUUGGUUUCUAUCUUUUAAAAAGAUUAAUAGUUUUUCUUAGUACGAAAGGAUCAGAAAAAACUAAAUUAUUAAUUAUAAUACAAAG